rnacentral:rRNA from 1 species
UACGUGAAACCGUUCAGAGGUAAACGGGUGGGGCCUCGAAGUCCCAGGUCGGUGGUGCACUCAGGUCGGUAGCGAAGCCCGUUUGUCUUCCCGUUGUGGCACCACGAGCGGUGCCGCGGGGACAGACGCGAGCCUCGGGCCCGCUCCGCACUUGCACCCCCGUACCAGCGGGGCGCCGCAAUCGGUUGGAUCGAUCGUCGUGCGGAACAGGGCGGAAGGUGGCUGCCGUGGCCCUCGGGCUGCAGUGGUGUUACAGACGCUCUAAACUUCCCGGCGGGUCGUUCGACCGUGGUGGGUUCACAAUCUCCCGAGCGCGUUCUCUUCCGAGCGACGCAGAACUCCGGGUGCAGUGGGGUUUUCCACGACCGUCGGACCUGUGAAGGUGUGCCGGGCUGGGUUCCUCGCUCGCUGACCAACUUAAACGGAGAAUAUGCGGGGGAGCGCGGAGAUUUGCGGCGAGUAGUCGGCAUCCCACCCGACCCGUCUUGAAACACGGACCAAGGAGUCCAAGGCGCGUGCGAGUUCCCGGGACUUGACUAGGCCCGAGGGCGCAAUGAAAGUGAGCAGCUGGGAUCCGUUGCACUAGUGCGGCGGCGCACCAGCGGCCCGUCUCUCUCCGGUUUCGGAAGGGCGGAGCUUGAGCACGUGCCUUGGGACCCGAAAGAUGGUGAACUAUGCCUGGGCAGGACGAAGCCAGAGGAAAC